rnacentral:rRNA from 1 species
AUUGAACGCUGGCGGCAUGCCUUACACAUGCAAGUCGAACGGUAACGGGCCUUCGGGUGCCGACGAGUGGCGAACGGGUGAGUAAUGUAUCGGAACGUACCUUUCAGUGGGGGAUAACGUAGCGAAAGUUACGCUAAUACCGCAUAUUCUGUGCGCAGGAAAGCAGGGGAUCGCAAGACCUUGCGCUGAUUGAGCGGCCGAUAUCAGAUUAGCUAGUUGGUGAGGUAAAGGCUCACCAAGGCGACGAUCUGUAGCGGGUCUGAGAGGAUGAUCCGCCACACUGGAACGGAGACACGGUCCAGACUCCUACGGGAGGCAGCAGUGGGGAAUUUUGGACAAUGGGGGCAACCCUGAUCCAGCCAUGCCGCGUGAGUGAAGAAGGCCUUCGGGUUGUAAAGCUCUUUCGGCCGGGAAGAAAUCGUAUGGGUUAAUACCCUGUGCGGAUGACGGUACCGGCAUAAGAAGCACCGGCUAACUACGUGCCAGCCGCCGCGGUAAGAC